AGGCCGGGCCGGCCGGCCGGCCGCCCCCUGACCCGGCUCUUGUCUUCCAGAGCCCACCCUGCCCAGCACAGCGCCGCCCACCUCCACGCUCUCAGGUGCAGCGCCCGCCCUGCUGGGGGUGCUGGGGUCACCUGCGGGGCUUCUGUUUCUCAUUCCCUUACUCAUGUGGCUCUCGGAGGUGCGGGGGUGAGAGGGACGGAGCGGGCGCGGCGCAGCCCCGGCCGGGGGGGCGGCGGGGAGACAGGCGGGGUCCCUGCGCCCUGGGGUCCCGCCCUGGCCGGGGAUCAAACUCGCGCCGCAGGGGCUGCGAGAGCCCCGUGGUGCCGACAAACCCCCCCCCAUCCCCCCGCCUCCGGGGGCUCCUGUGGCCGCCCGUGGGAGAGGCGGAGAAGCCCAGCCGCCCGCUGCCGGCCAGCUUCGCCCGCCGCCCGGUGUCCCUGCCAGGCCCGGGCCGCGCCCUGUGCGGCCACCUCAGCUCUGUCUCUGGCUCCCAGCCCGCCCCUGCGACCCAGCCUCCCGCCUCGACGCGUCCAGGCUCCCAGCCCGGCCCUGCGACCCAGCCUCCCGCCUCGACGCGUCCAGGUGCAGUAG